UAGUAAGAAAUGAAAAUUCAUUUACGGUUUCGACCCGUAAUUACUGGUGCUAAUGCACCCUACUAC
rnacentral:tRNA from 1 species